rnacentral:rRNA from 1 species
GAUGAACGCUGGCGGCGUGCCUAAUACAUGCAAGUCGAGCGAACAGAUAAGGAGCUUGCUCCUUUGACGUUAGCGGCGGACGGGUGAGUAACACGUGGAUAACCUACCUAUAAGACUGGGAUAACUUCGGGAAACCGGAGCUAAUACCGGAUAACAUAUUGAACCGCAUGGUUCAAUAGUGAAAGGCGGCUUUGCUGUCACUUAUAGAUGGAUCCGCGCCGUAUUAGCUAGUUGGUAAGGUAACGGCUUACCAAGGCAACGAUACGUAGCCGACCUGAGAGGGUGAUCGGCCACACUGGAGCUGAGACACGGUCCAGACUCCUACGGGAGGCAGCAGUAGGGAAUCUUCCGCAAUGGGCGAAAGCCUGACGGAGCAACGCCGCGUGAGUGAUGAAGGUCUUCGGAUCGUAAAACUCUGUUAUCAGGGAAGAACAAAUGUGUAAGUAACUGUGCACAUCUUGACGGUACCUGAUCAGAAAGCCACGGCUAACUGCGUG